rnacentral:misc_RNA from 1 species
UUGGUUUGAUACGGGUGGUCGGCUCCCUGCUUGAGCAGGCACGGCCACGCGUGCAUUCCUUUUCAGAUGUGCGGCAAGGCUUGUAUGGUCUUGAUCGUAUAAGUGGGUUUCCUGUGUUGAAUACCUGAUCAACGGCAUCGUUUCGAUCAAAAGCGUACCUUUUUCGUCUAGUGUUGCACCCGCACCAUUGGAUGAACCGUGUAGCAUUCUCUUUGAUCCAUACAAUUGACAUUCAUUGUUAGUUGUUUGGCCCAUUGAGGGUGUCUUGGUCCCUUGAAUAUGGAAGCCAAAGUGGGCACGGGAUCGCAAGAUCCGUUUAGUGCCCUAAUUGAGCGUUUUCGCUUCUCUUACACGACUGCCUCUCACGUAUGGCACGUCCCAGCGUGUUUGGCUAUGUCGAAGAGGAAUGU